rnacentral:ncRNA from 1 species
UUUAAAGCGAAGAUUGAGAAUAGUAAUCAUGAACGGAAAAUUACAGAGAGUCGCAGGUUGGUGUGAUUGCGGCAGGGAAGUUUAUGACGAAUGGCCUCAUGAGUACGACCCGAAAUCAUCGAUAGUAGGCGUCGUCGGGAAUCCUACCCGUUAUCAUCAGGACGUGUAUGAUCGUACAUGUUUGAGCGGGUAUAGUAAUAUACCAAUUUGGGUGGUACCGCAGGAGAUAUAGCCUCUUGUCCCUUUC